CUAGUCUUCUUCUCUCUUUUGUAGAAAGUGUCUGAGACUGAGAAGAAGGCGAGAUUACCAAAUUCAGGGAAUCUCUGCGAAAGAACCAUUCCACUACCUCCUCUUGGAAACUUGAGGUAGGAACCCAGGGUAAUGACCUCGGGUAGAGUAACAGCGAAGGUUCAAUCCUCCCACAAAGAGGUGGCAGACAAUCCUGAGCCCAUUUUCUAAAGUUGGUGAAAACCAGCCAUGAAUUUGGGUGCAGAGACUUUAUGGUAGUCGGUCAUCCAUGUUUUCAGAUGGAUGGCUUAAGAUAAAGCCCACUCCCAGAGGCGACUCUGUC
rnacentral:ncRNA from 1 species